GCCGGAGUAGCUCAGCUGGUAGAGCAACUGAUUCGUAAUCAGUGGGUCGGGGGUUCAAGUCCUCUCUUCGGCACCA
rnacentral:tRNA from 1 species